rnacentral:rRNA from 1 species
CAAAGGAAUUGACGGGACCCGCACAAGCGGUGGAUGAUGUGGUUUAAUUCGAUGCAACGCGAAAACCUUACCUACCCUUGACAUGUCAAGAAUUUUGCAGAGAUGUGAAAGUGCUCGAAAGAGAACUUGAACACAGGUGCUGCAUGGCCGUCGUCAGCUCGUGUCGUGAGAUGUUGGGUUAAGUCCCGCAACGAGCGCAACCCUUGUCAUUAGUUGCUACCGCAAGGAGCACUCUAAUGAGACUGCCGGUGACAAACCGGAGGAAGGUGGGGAUGACGUCAGGUCCUCAUGGCCCUUAUGGGUAGGGCUACACACGUCAUACAAUGGCCGGUACAGAGGGCUGCCAACCCGCGAGGGGGAACCAAUCCCAGAAAACCGGUCGUAGUCCGGAUCGUAGUCUGCAACUCGACUGCGUGAAGUCGGAAUCGCUAGUAAUCGCGGAUCAGCUUGCCGCGGUGAAUACGUUCCCGGGUCUU